CAUUAAAUUAAAUACAAACUAGAACACACCCGCGAAAUCGCGGGCAUUCAGAGCGGAGUUAAAAGUAUGUAAAGUGUUGUUAGAAGUUUUAUACCUCCUCCUUCAUUUCCAAAAUUCCCAAUUUUUGGUUUUCUAUCAAUUUCAAUAUGAACAUACAUUUAGUAUGUUAUGAACAUUUAAGUAAGGAGCCUGUAGUUCAGUGGUUGUCGUUUGUUUGUGUGUUACAUAUUUGUUUUUCGUUCCUUUUUUGUACAUAAAUAAGGCCGCUAGUUUUCUCGUUUGAAUUUUUUUACAUCGUCA
rnacentral:lncRNA from 1 species